AUAGAAACAAGGAAACUUUUCGGAGCUGUCAAUCAGGGCCCCAUCAGCUGACUGUCAGCUGGGGAGUGCCUUAACCCCUUCCUGCCCAACGCCUCCAGCCGGACUCACUGGCCUCCCCUCCCGCCCCUCGCUCCCCCCCCUCCCCCGGGAGGGGGAUGGGGAUGGGGCCGGGGGGGUGCCGUGGAAGCGGCGAGCGGGCUGGACGCGGAGCGGCGGAUCGGCUCGGUUUAAAUCUCGACAGCGCCAUCUCUCGUCGAAAGCGUUACAGAAACACAGAACAACCCUAUAUAGGAGAAGAGGGAAAAGCAGCAGCAGUGAAGCAGCAGACAUCAAUUACUAUAUGCAUGUUCAAUCACCAUGAUGCUGCGUGCUAGGAUGCCUGUGUAUUUUGUCUGGAUGCAUAAAGGCUGUCCUCCUGGGAGCAUUCAAAUGAGCACAUCUAUAAAUGUAGCACAGCAAAAUGAGCUACUUUUGCCACUCUCGCUUCUCCUGAGCCUGCUACAAUCCACUUCUGCGACAACAGUUUUUUGCCCCAUAUACGUCUGACACUGCUCUUUUAUUUUAAGGCUGAGAAAAUCUUCCCUUUAAACUCACGCUGAGCAUCAAAUUGGACUCCACUUGCAGCUGAACAUCUUGGCUGCCUCUUCCUUUCCUCCAUCAGCUCCAGUACGUCUUAUGUAGAAUCCUCCCUGUUAAUGAAACUCGCUUCUCCUUCCUCCUCACUUUCCAGUGUUCCGUUAGCGUUACUGGAUCCACCAGACUUGAUGUGUUUGAAGAUCUGUUAAAACUCUGUAAAAGGAAAGGGGGAAAGCAAAGUUUGAUUUUCCAACUGAGUCUCCUACUUGGCCAGUCUGCACAGACCCGAAGCACACAACCUCUCUUUAUUUGUAUGUAAAGUUUCUGUUGCUAAAUUAGAAAAAGUAGUUUGCAAAGGCAGGCUGAAACACAUAUCUUGGUUGCUUUUGUGUAACACCCAAGAGGGCUUUUGUUUUAGCUCCAGGAAUUGUGAGGUAUGAGCAGCUGCUUCAAUUUUGUUCCCCUGGAAGUGCCUGACAGUCCCUAUACGGAAGAUGCAGCAUCAGUGCUACACCUGAGCGUGCAAGUUGCUCCAUGCACCGAGUACAAAUGACGUGACAGCUUUUUAGCAAUAAGAAUAUUUUCAUUGCUUGCUUCUACCAUUUGUAAAAUGCUAAAAAGAUUGCAAAUAGUUUUGUAUGAUGCAGAAACAAUUUCUCUGUCUGAAGGGAAAACGGCACAGGGGUGCGACGGAAACGCUGCAGGUGACUCUGAGCCGUGGUUAAAGGCUGGAGUCACCAGAUCUGUGCUGUGGUUGGUUCAUGAUGCAUGUCCUACUUUACUCAUUUUUGUGAAUAGCUUUGCCUAGAUGUAAAAAUCAAUGAAGACAUUUUGACACUAAAAAAAAAAAUAAAUCUAUUUAUCUAAAAGAAAUAAAAACUGAAAUUGCAAUAAAGAUUUUUACCAAGCUUUA